rnacentral:rRNA from 1 species
GAUCAUGGCUCAGGAUGAACGCUAGCGGCAGGCCUAACACAUGCAAGUCGAGGGGUCAGCACGGUGUAGCAAUACACUGGUGGCGACCGGCGCACGGGUGCGUAACGCGUAUGCAACCUACCCAUAACAGGGGGAUAACACUGAGAAAUUGGUACUAAUACCCCAUAAACAUCAGGACCGGCAUCGGUUCUAGGUUUGAAAACUCCGGUGGUUAUGGAUGGGCAUGCGUUGUAUUAGCUGGUUGG